rnacentral:rRNA from 1 species
UACGUAGGGCGCAAGCGUUGUCCGGAAUUAUUGGGCGUAAAGAGCUCGUAGGCGGUUUGUUGCGUCGGCUGUGAAAUCCCGAGGCUCAACCUCGGGUCUGCAGUCGAUACGAGCAAACUAGAGUGUUGCAGGGGAGACUGGAAUUCCUGGUGUAGCGGUGAAAUGCGCAGAUAUCAGGAGGAACACCGGUGGCGAAGGCGGGUCUCUGGGCAACAACUGACGCUGAGGCGCGAAAGCGUGGGGAGCAAACAGG